rnacentral:rRNA from 1 species
UGGGGAAUCAUAGACAAUGGGGGAAACCCUGAUCUUGCCAUGCCGCGUGGACGAUGAAGGCCUUAGGGUUGUAAAGUCCUUUCACCGGUGAAGAUAAUGACGGUAGCCGGAGAAGAAGCCCCGGCUAACUCCGUGCCAGCAGCCGCGGUAAUACGGAGGGGGCUAGCGUUGUUCGGAAUUACUGGGCGUAAAGCGCGCGUAGGCGGGCUGUUAAGUCGGGGGUGAAAUCCCGGGGCUCAACCCCGGAACUGCCUCCGAUACUGGCAGCCUAGAGGACGGUAGAGGCCAGUGGAAUGGCGAGUGUAGAGGUGAAAUUCGUAGAUAUUCGCCGGAACACCAGUGGCGAAGGCGACUGGCUGGACCGUUUCUGACGCUGAGGUGCGAAAGUGUGGGGAGCAAACAGGAUUAGAUACCCCCGUAGUCC